rnacentral:rRNA from 1 species
AUGGCGUUCGUGGCGGCCAUGAUCACCGCCAUCGCCUCGGUUGUCUCGGUGCUGCUUCUGAGGGCGGUAUGGGUGACCCUAUCUUGCUACUUCCUGACGCCAAUGAGGAUCCGUAGAACCAUGGCGGCGCAGGGCGUCCACGGUCCCCCGCCGCGCCCGCUCGUCGGCAACCUACGCCAGGUGUCGGCCCUCGUUGCGGAGGCCAACGCCGGCGACAUGACGUCCCUGAGCCACGACAUCGUCGGCCGCCUCAUGCCCCAUUACGUGCUCUGGUCGCAGACAUACGGGAAGCUUUUCGUGUACUGGUACGGGAGCGAGCCGCGGCUGUGCCUGACGGACACGGACAUGAUCAAGGAGUUCCUGUCGUCCAAGUACGCCCACGCCACCGGCAAGUCGUGGCUGCAGCGGCAGGGCACGAAGAACUUCAUCGGCCGCGGCCUGCUCAUGGCCAACGGCGCCAGGUGGUCGCACCAGCGCCACGUCGUCGCGCCGGCGUUCAUGCCUGACAAGCUCAAGGGGCGUGUGGGGCACAUGGUGGAGUGCACGAAGCAGACGAUCCUGUCGCUGCGGGAUGCGGCGGCGCGCGGCCGCGGCGAGGUGGAGAUCGGCGGCCACAUGACCCGGCUCACCGGCGACAUCAUCUCCCGGACCGAGUUCGACACCAGCUACGAGACCGGCAAGCGCAUCUUCCACCUCCUGGAGGACCUGCAGCGCCUCACCGCGCGCUCCAGCCGCUACCUCUGGAUCCCCGGCAGCCAGUACUUCCCCAGCAAGUACAGGAGGGAGAUCGGGCGGCUGAACGGCGAGCUGGAGGGCGUCGUCUUGGAGUCCAUCCGCCGGAGCCGCGAGAUCGCCGACGAGGGCCGGACGACCUCCACGUACGGCCGGGGGCUCCUCGCCAUGCUGCUCGCCGAGAUGGAGAAGAAGAAGGAGAAGGGUGCAGGCGACGACGGCAAGUUCAGCUACGACACGCGGCUGGUGAUCGACGAGUGCAAGACCUUCUUCUUCGCCGGCCACGAGACGUCGGCGCUGCUGCUCACCUGGACGCUCAUGCUACUCGCCACGCACCCCGAGUGGCAGGACAAGGCCCGCGCCGAGGUCUCCCAGGUCUGCGGCGACGACCCGCCGUCGGCCGACCAGCUCUCCAAACUGACCGUGGUAUGUCCUACAGUACUGUGCACGUGCAUGCGUAAGCAAGGUCUUAUGUCAUUUGAUCGUUCGGCUCUUAGCGAAAAUCUUAAUGUUUUUUCUUGUGUGCGCGCGAAUUUGCAGCUGCAGAUGAUCAUCCACGAGACGCUGCGGCUGUACCCGCCGGCGACGCUGCUGCCGCGGAUGGCGUUCGAGGACAUCCGGCUCGGGGAUCUCCACCUGCCGCGCGGGCUCUCGGUGUGGAUACCCGUGCUGGCAAUACACCACGACGAGUCCAUCUGGGGCGCCGACGCGCAUGAGUUCCACCCGGAGCGGUUCGCCGCCGGGCGGCGCUCAUCGGCGGGCGCCGGCCGGUUCCUGCCGUUCGCGGCCGGGCCGCGCAACUGCGUCGGGCAGGCGUACGCCCUCUUCGAGGCCAAGGUCGUCCUCGCCAUGCUGCUGGCCAACUUCCGCUUCACCAUCUCCGAUGACUACCGCCACGCGCCGGUCAACGUGCUCACCCUCCGCCCCAAGUACGGCGUGCCCGUCCACCUCCGGCCGCUGCGGCCGUAG